rnacentral:rRNA from 1 species
UACAGAGGUCUCAAGCGUUGUUCGGAUUCAUUGGGCGUAAAGGGUGCGUAGGUGGCAUGGUAAGUUGAAGGUGAAAUCUCGGAGCUCAACUCCGAAACUGCCUUCAAUACUGCUGUGCUUGAGGACUGUAGAGGAGAAUGGAAUUCACGGUGUAGCAGUGAAAUGCGUAGAUAUCGUGAGGAAGACCAGUGGCGAAGGCGAUUCUCUGGGCAGUUCCUGACACUGAGGCACGAAGGCUAGGGGAGCAAACGGG